GGGUUGUGAGGUUAAGCGACUAAGCGUACACGGUGGAUGCCCUGGCAGUCAGAGGCGAUGAAGGACGUGCUAAUCUGCGAUAAGCGUCGGUAAGGUGAUAUGAACCGUUAUAACCGGCGAUUUCCGAAUGGGGAAACCCAGUGUGUUUCGACACACUAUCAUUAACUGAAUCCAUAGGUUAAUGAGGCGAACCGGGGGAACUGAAACAUCUAAGUACCCCGAGGAAAAGAAAUCAACCGAGAUUCCCCCAGUAGCGGCGAGCGAACGGGGAGGAGCCCAGAGCCUGAAUCAGUGUGUGUGUUAGUGGAAGCGUCUGGAAAGGCGCGCGAUACAGGGUGACAGCCCCGUACACAAAAAUGCACAUACUGUGAGCUCGAUGAGUAGGGCGGGACACGUGGUAUCCUGUCUGAAUAUGGGGGGACCAUCCUCCAAGGCUAAAUACUCCUGACUGACCGAUAGUGAACCAGUACCGUGAGGGAAAGGCGAAAAGAACCCCGGCGAGGGGAGUGAAAAAGAACCUGAAACCGUGUACGUACAAGCAGUGGGAGCCUCUUUUAUGGGGUGACUGCGUACCUUUUGUAUAAUGGGUCAGCGACUUAUAUUCUGUAGCAAGGUUAACCGAAUAGGGGAGCCGAAGGGAAACCGAGUCUUAACUGGGCGUUAAGUUGCAGGGUAUAGACCCGAAACCCGGUGAUCUAGCCAUGGGCAGGUUGAAGGUUGGGUAACACUAACUGGAGGACCGAACCGACUAAUGUUGAAAAAUUAGCGGAUGACUUGUGGCUGGGGGUGAAAGGCCAAUCAAACCGGGAGAUAGCUGGUUCUCCCCGAAAGCUAUUUAGGUAGCGCCUCGUGAAUUCAUCUCCGGGGGUAGAGCACUGUUUCGGCAAGGGGGUCAUCCCGACUUACCAACCCGAUGCAAACUGCGAAUACCGGAGAAUGUUAUCACGGGAGACACACGGCGGGUGCUAACGUCCGUCGUGAAGAGGGAAACAACCCAGACCGCCAGCUAAGGUCCCAAAGUCAUGGUUAAGUGGGAAACGAUGUGGGAAGGCCCAGACAGCCAGGAUGUUGGCUUAGAAGCAGCCAUCAUUUAAAGAAAGCGUAAUAGCUCACUGGUCGAGUCGGCCUGCGCGGAAGAUGUAACGGGGCUAAACCAUGCACCGAAGCUGCGGCAGCGACGCUUAUGCGUUGUUGGGUAGGGGAGCGUUCUGUAAGCCUGUGAAGGUGUACUGUGAGGUAUGCUGGAGGUAUCAGAAGUGCGAAUGCUGACAUAAGUAACGAUAAAGCGGGUGAAAAGCCCGCUCGCCGGAAGACCAAGGGUUCCUGUCCAACGUUAAUCGGGGCAGGGUGAGUCGACCCCUAAGGCGAGGCCGAAAGGCGUAGUCGAUGGGAAACAGGUUAAUAUUCCUGUACUUGGUGUUACUGCGAAGGGGGGACGGAGAAGGCUAUGUUGGCCGGGCGACGGUUGUCCCGGUUUAAGCGUGUAGGCUGGUUUUCCAGGCAAAUCCGGAAAAUCAAGGCUGAGGCGUGAUGACGAGGCACUACGGUGCUGAAGCAACAAAUGCCCUGCUUCCAGGAAAAGCCUCUAAGCAUCAGGUAACAUCAAAUCGUACCCCAAACCGACACAGGUGGUCAGGUAGAGAAUACCAAGGCGCUUGAGAGAACUCGGGUGAAGGAACUAGGCAAAAUGGUGCCGUAACUUCGGGAGAAGGCACGCUGAUAUGUAGGUGAAGCGACUUGCUCGUGGAGCUGAAAUCAGUCGAAGAUACCAGCUGGCUGCAACUGUUUAUUAAAAACACAGCACUGUGCAAACACGAAAGUGGACGUAUACGGUGUGACGCCUGCCCGGUGCCGGAAGGUUAAUUGAUGGGGUUAGCGGUAACGCGAAGCUCUUGAUCGAAGCCCCGGUAAACGGCGGCCGUAACUAUAACGGUCCUAAGGUAGCGAAAUUCCUUGUCGGGUAAGUUCCGACCUGCACGAAUGGCGUAAUGAUGGCCAGGCUGUCUCCACCCGAGACUCAGUGAAAUUGAACUCGCUGUGAAGAUGCAGUGUACCCGCGGCAAGACGGAAAGACCCCGUGAACCUUUACUAUAGCUUGACACUGAACAUUGAGCCUUGAUGUGUAGGAUAGGUGGGAGGCUUUGAAGUGUGGACGCCAGUCUGCAUGGAGCCGACCUUGAAAUACCACCCUUUAAUGUUUGAUGUUCUAACGUUGGCCCCUGAUCGGGGUUGCGGACAGUGUCUGGUGGGUAGUUUGACUGGGGCGGUCUCCUCCUAAAGAGUAACGGAGGAGCACGAAGGUUGGCUAAUCCUGGUCGGACAUCAGGAGGUUAGUGCAAUGGCAUAAGCCAGCUUGACUGCGAGCGUGACGGCGCGAGCAGGUGCGAAAGCAGGUCAUAGUGAUCCGGUGGUUCUGAAUGGAAGGGCCAUCGCUCAACGGAUAAAAGGUACUCCGGGGAUAACAGGCUGAUACCGCCCAAGAGUUCAUAUCGACGGCGGUGUUUGGCACCUCGAUGUCGGCUCAUCACAUCCUGGGGCUGAAGUAGGUCCCAAGGGUAUGGCUGUUCGCCAUUUAAAGUGGUACGCGAGCUGGGUUUAGAACGUCGUGAGACAGUUCGGUCCCUAUCUGCCGUGGGCGCUGGAGAACUGAGGGGGGCUGCUCCUAGUACGAGAGGACCGGAGUGGACGCAUCACUGGUGUUCGGGUUGUCAUGCCAAUGGCACUGCCCGGUAGCUAAAUGCGGAAGAGAUAAGUGCUGAAAGCAUCUAAGCACGAAACUUGCCCCGA
rnacentral:rRNA from 1 species